rnacentral:tRNA from 1 species
GCUCUGGUAGCUUAGUGGUAAAGUACAAUACUGAAGAUAUUGGGAGCGUAAGUUCGAUUCUUGCCCGGAGCA